rnacentral:lncRNA from 1 species
UUUUUUUUUUUUUUUCCUUUGGCUGCGCCUGUGGCAUGUGGGAAGUUCCUGGGCCAGGGAUCUGACCCACGCCACAGCAGCGACCUGAGCUGCUGCAGUGACAAAUGCCAAAUCCUUAACCCACUGUGCCACCAGCGGAACCCCUGCCACCUUUUGAAAGGAAGGAAGGCCUUAAGACCAGGAAUGCUGAGUAAAUUGAAAUCACAGGGAAGUUGUUUACUCCCAGCAUUAAAAGGCCAGGUUUUAUGCACAGGUAUAUUAUUAGUUCUCAUAAGUUACCACUUUUAUUGUAUAGUACGUUAUUUAUGGUUUGUAGUGCUUUUUUGUAACCAUUAUCUAAUUUCAUUUCUCAUCCAGUUCUGUGAGGGAACUUGCGGAGGUUGGUUUUAUAUCUCCUUUUUACAGAUCUAAUUGAGAAUUAAGACGUAAUAUGGUUAGGGCAGUUGUCUUACCACCAAAUUAAACAAGUGGUGAGGACAGGACAUCUCUUAUGGGCAAAGGAUUUGAUUUGAUGUGGCAGCAUGAACUCAGCCAUUCAUUUGGCUCUCCGAUCCUCAGUUUCUUUAUCUCUUAACUGUCACAGGGUUGUGUGGGGACUAUGAGAAAUGGCUAUGAAAGUACAUUGUAAUAGUAGGAAUAAUUGCUAACAUUUAUUAAGUAAUUUGCAUGUAGCAGUCACUGGACUAAGGACUUUCUGUAAGUAUCUCAUGUAGUCCUCAGCAAGUAUAUGAAUUAGGUACUAUUAUUAAGCCCAUUUUGCAGAAGAAGAAACAGCGUUAGAGAGGUUAUAUAAGAUAAAAUUUACAAUUUUAACCAUUGUUAAAUGUACAGUUCUGUGGCAUUAAAUAUAUUCACAUUGUUGUGCACCAUCACCACCAUCCAUGUCUAGAACUUUUUCACCUUCCCCAGCUGAAACUAACUACUUUCAUAGUUUCCCCCUACCCCUGCAACUAUCAUUCUCUUUUCUGUUUUUAUGAAUUUGACUACUCUAAGUACCUCAUAUGAAUGGAAUCAUACAAUAUUUGUCCUUUUGUAACUGGCAAAGUUGGCAUUCUCAGUGCUUCCUUAAAUCUAGGGUGCCCUAUUAAUGCAAAAUGAUUAUUAGUUCUCAUCUGCAGUAGGGUGUGGCGUGCAGCUCCAGAGCAAGAACUGAGGCCUAGUUCUACCUCUCUGGUUAAGCUCCCUUUGCCUCCUCCCCCCACUCUGUAGAUUAAAGUUCCUUAUCACUGAAGUCUUUUUUGGAAGUCUCUUGCUUGCCCCUUCUAUAUCUUCCAAAGAGACCUCCUACUCUUGAAAUAGAACCCAGAGGACUUGCCCACCCCCGCUUUGCUUGCAUCUUCCUUUCUGACUGUCCUGGGUUUGAGCAUAUGGGGCUGCAGUGAUCAAGAAUAGCAGUGCUAUGACAGCAGCUUGGAUCAAAACUACUUAGGACGAUUAAAUGGAUUACCUUUAUGAAAUGCUCCUUCUUUGUGCCCUCUUCUUUCCAUAAAGGCACACAAGAAGGAUUAGCUUUUGGGUUCCUAGAGGGUAUUUAUGGAUCCUCAUUGCUUGCAGGUGGUUAAGAUGGAAUUAAAUGCUGCAUUUAGCUUUUCAGAAUUGCCUUCAGUUGACUGCUUCUGGGUCUUUGUGUAUUUUGGGGGAUGUGGUGUUUGUGAAAUGAAGUUGGAACUUUGUCUGGAUGCCAAAAGGGGUUUGGGAUGGGAGGUGUUCCAGAGAAGAAUAAUAGGGUAACAAACAGAUCUGAACAUGUUGCACUUUCCUUAAAAAUUUGAAGGCCCAACAUUGCCUACAUAUUAUAGUCCAUACCCCUGAGUAUGAUAAUAAGGUCAGACUGUAUUAAAUUAUUUAUUGGAUAGAAUCUUGUAAUUAAAGGACUUAGUCAUGUAGCCAACCAUCCAGCCAACAUUUGAGUAGACUACCUGUUGAGAUUUCAUUUCACCAGGCACUUCAUUUUUGGAAAAUUUUCCGAUUACAGACCAGUUAUUAAGCAUCUGCCACUUGCAGUACUAAGCUUGGGAAUUUGGGUGUCUUGGGGGAAGACAGGCAAGGAAACAGUGUGAGAAGUGUUGUGACAGGGACAAGCACCAUGAAAGCAUGGAAAAAGGGUAACUAACCCAGCCUUGGUCAGGGAAGGCUUCCUCGGAGAAACUGGCUAAGGCUGCACCUCAAGGAAAGGAUGUAACCUAGGAAAAGAAGAGAUUUGGGGAGUUGAGAUAAGCAAGACUGUUCUGGGCAGAAGGAAUGGGAAAUCUAGAGAUGGUGGUGUUAAUAGGUGAACUUUUGGCCAUUUACUAUCAACAGGCACCGUUCUAAGCCUUUAACAUGUGUUAACUCGUUUUUUUUCCAUAACUACCCUGAGAGGUAUAUACUAUUAUUAUUCCCGUUUUGUAAGUGAGGCAACAAACCCAGAGGGGUUAAAUGAGUUUCUCAAAACUUCUGGGUGGAGCAUAAAGCAUGAGAUAGGUGGAGUGGCAAGAGAUGAGAUUGGCAGGUAGGCAGAGCAGAGGCCCAGUCCAUGAAAGGGCCUUAUUGCCCAGAUUGAAGAGUUUGGACUUCAUUUUGGUGAGGGGGCCAUGAUCCUAUAUGUAUUUAAAAGGAUAUCUCUGGUCAUUUGGGGAAUGGAUUUGUGGGCUAGAGCACCAUGGGCAGAGACCAGUUAGGAGGCUUUUGCAGUAAUGUAGGCAAGAGAUGAUAGUGUUUCAAAUGAAGGGUGUGUGUGUAGAGAAAAGAAGAUGGAAUUGAGUUAUGAAUCACAAAGAUUGUUGGAGUGGAGGGUAAGGAAAAAAUCAAGCAACUCUUCUAGAUUUCUACCUGGUGUAGUUGUAUAGAUCGGGCUGCUGCUCAUUGAGGUGAGGAUACAGGAGAAGGAGUACAUGAGUGAGAAGGGAGGAAUUCUUUUUAAAUUUUUUUUCUUUUUUUUUUUAAUCUUAAGUGAGAAUUGCAAUGAUUUUUAAUUAAUUAAUUUUUAUUUAUUUAUUUACUUUGCUUUUUUUUUUUUUUUUCCUGUCUUUUUGCUAUUUCUUUGGGCCACUCCUGCGGCAUAUGGAGGUUCCCAGGCCAGGGGUCGAAUUGGAGCUGUAGCCCCCGGCCUACACCAGAGCCACAGCAACGCGGGAUCCGAGCCGAGUCUGUGACCUACACCACAGCUCACGGCAACGGUGGAUCCUUAACCCACUGAGCAAGGCCAGGGACCGAACCCACAACCUCAUGGUUCCUAGUGGGAUUCGUUAACCACUGCACCACAACGGGAACUCCUUAUUUUGCUUUUUAGGGCCACAUCCACGGCAUAUGGAAGUUCCCAGGCUAGGGAUCAAAUCCGGAGCUACAGCUACCUGCCUGCGCCCAGCCACAGCAACAGCAACGCUGGAUCUGAGCUGUGUCUGUGACCUACACCACAGCUCACAGCAAUGCCAGAUCCUUAACCCACUGAGUGAGGCCAGGGAUCGAACCUGCAACCUCAUGGUUCCUAGUUGGAUUCCUUUCUGCUGCGCCAUGACGGGAACUCCAAGAAGGGAGGAUUUCUCAUUCAGGGUCUUCUUACAUCAGCUUUCAAUUACCUCUUUCUAGUUGUUGAUCAUAGUUCUUCAAGGGGAGGAGGGGAAGGGGGAUCAGCAUAUUUGGUGACUAUCCCCUGGAUGAUGUAGACACUAGUUUUGGAAAGGAGUUAAGUAUUAGAUCCUAGACAUCCAGGCCUUGCAUAGCCCUGAAGACUGCAUAUGUUAUGCCAAGGAAAGCUUAUGUUUUCUCCAGACAACAUCCUUUGGCGUUGCUCUCUCCAUGUGCUAGUGUCCUUCUCUCAGUACCUGCCUCCUAGGCACUGGGAAAACAAAGAUGAGUGAAACAUAGCUUAAGGCGCUUGUAUUCAAAAGGGCAGCAUGUCUUAGUAGCUUAGAUACUGUAGUGGAGAGGAGAGAAUGGGGUGGGGCGGGUUAAGUGAGGUAGAUAGAACAGGAUAGAGAGGGACCAAGAAGGAUUUUUUUUAUUAGAGGCAUGCGUCAGGAGACCCUGCUCCACGCUCCAUUCUUUUCCUCAGGUGGCAGAAAUCCAUACUUGUUCAAAGGGCCAGGUUUAUCCAUUUGAAGUGCAGUGGAAAAUAAUAACUAGAUGACCCCCAGUGUCCCUUGUAGCAAUAACAUUUUAUAAUUCUAGAUGAUGAUUUAGACAGUAUAUCUCUUGGAGAGGUAUUUUCUUCCUUUCUCUUCCCUUCCUCCCUCUCUCCUCCCCUUUCUUCCUUAGGCAGUGGUAGGGGUGUAGAGGUAGAGAUAGGAUUUUCACAUGAGUGUCUAGGAAAACCUAGAUUUAUUCAGUUUUAGCUUUAUAUAUAAAAUGUACAUUUGUAGGGGAGAAGAUGGCAGCAGUAGUGUUAGCCUAUUGUCCUACAGCUGCCCCCUUCGUGCUAUAAGGAAAGUUUCAGACCCACACUCUCAGGACUAGAGGGAAAGGAGCAGUGAGAUAAAUUGGGAGCCUAGUUACGAACCUUAGGAUCUUUGGUCUGGUUCCUGCUACUAACUUGAUGUAUGGAUUUGGCCAAGCCCCUUUCAUUUCUUCAUAAAAUAACCAGAAGGCCAAAAGGUGAAGGCUAGGGACAAAAAAAGGAUUGGAGGUUCUUCCCUAGUGAGGAAUAACUAGAGACAGGUGUCUGCCCAAGUACCAUUUUUAGUUACCUCUUCUGAAUGUUUCUACAGCCCUUCCUUUUUUCUCAGUUUUAGUGACUUUAUGUCACUUCAUGAUGGCCUCCAUGUGAAUAAAUGUGCUGUACCUCCUGGGAGGGGGGGAGGACAGAUGGGACGUUAUACCCUAGGGUCUAGUCUGCAUCCUUAAAGAGCUCUUUAAGCUGUCUACUGCCCCCUGCUCUCUAUGCUGGGGUCGGAGUGGGGAGUUUUCUGAGGCUGAGGCACAUGUAUUUGGAGUGCUCCACUGACUAAAGUGCAAAUCUGGCCGUCCUCCCAACAUGCCCAGUGCAGUUCCACUGGGGGAAAUAUCAUUCAGUGGGCUUUUGAUGCUUGCCAAAGUCACAUUAAUUGUUUUUUUUUGUUGUUGUUGGGUCUUUUUUUUUUGUCUUUUGAGGGCUGCACCCACAGCAAAUGGAGGUUCCCAGGCCAGGGGUCCAAUUGGAGCUGUUGCUGCUGGCCUACGCCAGGGCCACAGCAAUGCCAGAUCCUAGCAGCGUCUGCAACCUACACCACAGUUAACGGCAAAGCUGAAUCCUUAACCCACUGAGCAAGGCCAGGGAUCGAACCUGCAACCUCAUGGUUCCUAGUCAGAUUUGUUUCCGCUGAGCCACGAUGGAAACUCCCAAACUCAUUAAUUGUAAUUACCUAAUACUCCCUGGGACCUCGGUCUUCCUGUCUGUAAAACAAGGGGAUUGGACUGGAUAAUCUUGAAUCAUACUAUAGGUUUUUAUUGACACUCAUGUCAAAACCUUAUCUCCACCUCUACACCACUGCCUAACUAAUUAAGGAAGAACGGGGAGGAGAGAGGGAAGAAGAAGAAAGAAAGUACCUCUCCACAAGGUGUACUGUCUAAAUCAUCAUCUGGAAUCAUAGAAUAAAAGGAAAAUAAACAACAUCAUAGGAUUCCCAAACACUAUUAUUAGGAGUGGAAAAACACCAGACCAGAAAUUUGCAUUUCCUUAGAGCUUUAGCUUUAUGAGGUAGAUAAAUCUGUUGAGGUUACCUGGCCCUUGAAAUGCCAUCUGUAGAAACUGAAUAUUUAUGUUUAUUUGACAAGGUAAGAAUCAUUGCUUUAUUUCAAGUAAGUAUUCUCAUUUAGAAGGCCACGUUUAGUGUUAUUGGCCAGAUUUUUUUCUAGCUAUCUCCUGUUUAUUUCCUCCUGUUUAUUUAUUAAAAAUUUCACUAAGCCUAGUUAAAGGUGGUAUUUGGAUGGUGUCUGUUGAUCUGUUUGUCUUGUUUCCUUUGUAAUUCCUUGUGCUAGUGAAAGCAAGCUUAGCAGUGGAUUUAAAAGAAUCAUUUCCAUAACUCAUUAUUUCUCUAGGUCUGGGUUUCCUUUUUGGAAGGUAAGAUCUUGAUACAUUGAGAAGUCAAAGGUUGUUCCCUGCUUACACAAACCAUUUUAAGAUUUUGUUCUUCUCAGGUGUAAGUGGGUACUGAGGAAUAGUGCUCUCAGUAUAAUAAUGAUAGCUGUGCCCAAAUCAGUUGAACACAAGAAUAACUUUUCUUCGUACCUUAAAGACUCACUCUAAAUUGAUUUUCACACCAAUUAAAAUUAACUCUUACUAAAAUUAAAGUCUUAGGUAGAGUUACCAAGCUAAGUAGGUUACCUAGGUGCUGUAGCAAGAUUAUGCUUGGAAGUCCAACUGCCUUCCAUCCCUAAGUUCAACCGUUUGUUCCAGGAAUUUGGAGUACCUACUGUGUGUUCUCCCUACGGAGAACAUAAAAACCAAUAGAGAGACGUGAUUCCUACCCUCAAAUUACGUUCAGUCUUGAGAGGGAGACAGAUAAGUACAAUAGGUUUAUUCUUACCCCUGUUGCCCUGGCCUGGAUAUUUGAGUUAAGAGUUCAGAGUGGAAAUAGCAGAAUUGAUGGAGACUUGGCAGGAAGACUUAUUUGAAUAUCUGACUUAUGUUUCAGUUUAUUUUUGACCUUUCCUUUGUCUCUUCCUUUCUUCUGCCUGUUAUCCAGAUUUUAUCCUCUGUUGCUGAGGUGUCCAGCACCCAGUGUGUAAAGUCAAGAACUUGAGGGUAGGGACAGCAUUGUCCUUUAGGUUUGGGUGUCCGGACAUCUGCCUAAUGCUUUCCCUGUUCUCUUCACCUCAGUUCUCUGGCAGGCUUCAGGAAGAUUUGAUAUUGUCUAGCUUCUUAUUUAGGAAUUAAUAAAAUUAAAUUUCAUAUUGAAUUAUUUUAAGUUUUGUUAUACUCAGUUUUUUUUUUUUUUUUUUUUUGUCUUUUGUCUUGUUGUUGCUAUUUCUUGGGCCGCUCCCGCGGCAUAUGGAGGUUCCCAGGCUAGGGGUUGAAUCGGAGCUGUAGCCACCGGCCCACGCCAGAGCCACAGCAACGUGGGAUCCGAGCCGCGUCUGCAACCUACACCGCAGCUCACGGCAACGCCAGAUCGUUAACCCACUGAGCAAGGGCAGGGACUGAACCCGCAACCUCAUGGUUCCUAGUCGGAUUCGUUAACCACUGCGCCAUGACGGGAACUCCUAUACUCAGUUUUGAAAUAAAAUAGCUCUAUAUUGUUUGCAAGUGGAAUUACUUGAGGUGUGGUUUCUGGCAUUUGAUCAAUUUGUGACUUAUUAAUUGUGACUAUGCUGUGGUUCUUAAAGCCCAUGCUAGUGUCUCUGUCAGGCUUUUUUGGACACUUUGUAGCAUGGAGCCCUAGAAAUGGAGGGAAGGUUGAGUUUACCCUGUCUCGAAGAGCUCUUGCUCUUCCCUUGUCCCUACCUCAAAAACAGUGUUAUUUGGGAUGCUGUGUUAUGUUCAUGAUUUCUUCCAGUUUAGCAUUACUUAAGAGAUCUAAAAGAAGAGGAAAUAUGCCUGUGUACGUCCACAAACGUUAGGGCCAAUACUGAAAUCAAUCAGCCAAACUGUGGAGCCCACUGAGUGCCUUCCUUGGUUCUGUGAGGGAGGUAAAUAUAUAUGUAAAGCAUACUCUUAUCUUCAGGGAACCUUUGGUCUCUUUGGGGAAAUAGGUAAUCAUGAAGAUGUAGAUGAUAAAAAGGCAGUUUGGUUAGAGAGCUUGGUUUGGAAGACUAAGGUCUUACUCUUAUACCCUGGAACUAAUUUGGCUAGGUAAACUGGGGUAAGUCAUUUUUCUCUCUAUGAAGCUCCAUUUUCUCAUCUAUAAAAUGGGGUUAAUCUAUGUCUUGGCUUCUUCACAUUGUUAUUGUGAGGAACAGGUUAGAUAAUGUUAUUAAAAGUGCAUUAUAAAACCAAAUGAUGCAGUUUAAAUGUGAAAAAAUCAUGAGUCAUUUGACAGAGGUAAUAGGUAAAUAGCAGUUUUCUAUAGAAGGGGCGAUUUCUUUGUGCUGAAGUGAUCAGAAAGAGUGGUCUGGACCAGCCUUGGGAUUGGGAGAAAGAAUGAUGGAAGCAUUUAGACAGAGGCAAUGAGGGAGCAAAGGACUGUAGGCAGAACUGCUGAGGAGGAGCAGUGAGUGAGUAUUCUCCAACCACAUGCUUGAGUCAUAGGGUUCAGGUGCAGUAGUUACUGACAGUUUUCAGAGGCAUACCAGAUCACGCUCUCAUCAGCUGUGUUUGAGAGAAAUCCUGUUGCUUCACAUCCUUGACAACACUUACAUUAUCUGUCUUUCUCAUUUUAUGUCUCUCUGGUUGGUAUGUAGUUACAGGAAUGAAUUGUAAGGGGAAGUUCCCGUUGUGGUGCAGCGGAAACGAAUCCAACUAGGAGCCAUGAGGUUGUGGGUUCGAUCCCUGGCAUCACUCAGUGGUUUAAGGAUCUGGCCUUGCUGUGAGCUGUGGUGUAGGUUGCAGAUGCAGCUUGGAUCCUGCAUUGCUUUGGCUGUGGCAUAGGCCAGUAGCUCUAGUUCCAAUUGGGCCCCUAGCCUGGGAACCUCCAUAUGCCGCCGGUGCAGCCCCUAAAAGCAAAAAAAAAAAAAAAA